rnacentral:rRNA from 1 species
CGUGGUGCCGAAUAAUGGCGACGCGAAAGAGAAAUCGAGUAGGGCCCUGGGGAGAGUACACGCGCAAGCGAGAAAUUUAAAGGAAAUUGACGGAAGAACACCACAAGGAGUGGAGUGUGCGGCUUAAUUUGACUCAACGCGGGACAACUUACCGGGCCCGACGACCGUAAGAGUGUAACACACGAUAGGUCGAAGAGUGGUGCAUGGCCGUUAACGACGAGUGGAGUGAUCUUUGGGUUAAGUCCGUAAAUUAGUGAGACCUCAGCCGUAAGGGACAGGUGCGCAAAGCACAGGAAGGAUGGGUCAAGGACAGGUCAGUGAUGCCCUUAGAUGGUCCGGGCUGCACGCGCACUACAGUGGUCGCCGGAAUUACCUGAUAAUUAUAAAGGCGAUCGAGAGGGAAUGAGCUUUGUAAGAGGCUCAGGAACGAGGAAUUGCUAGUAAUCGCGGACUCAUUAAGACGCGAUGAAUACGUCCCUGUUCUUUGUACACACCGCCCGUCGUUAUCGAAGAUGAAGACAGGCGCGAACGAUCUACCAGAAAGUGAGCGCAGGUCUUUAGAUCUGAUACAAGUCGUAACAAGGUAGCUGUAGGAGAACCUGUAGCUGG